rnacentral:rRNA from 1 species
UACGGAGGGUGCGAGCGUUGUCCGGAAUCACUGGGCGUAAAGGGCGCGUAGGCGGCUUGUCGCGUCGGUUGUGAAAGCCCGGGGCUUAACUCCGGGUCUGCAGUCGAUACGGGCAGGCUAGAGUUCGGUAGGGGAGAUCGGAAUUCCUGGUGUAGCGGUGAAAUGCGCAGAUAUCAGGAGGAACACCGGUGGCGAAGGCGGAUCUCUGGGCCGAUACUGACGCUGAGGAGCGAAAGCGUGGGGAGCGAACAGG